rnacentral:rRNA from 1 species
AGUGAACGCUGGCGGUAGGCCUAACACAUGCAAGUCGAACGGCAGCACAGAGGAGCUUGCUCCUUGGGUGGCGAGUGGCGGACGGGUGAGGAAUACAUCGGAAUCUACUCUGUCGUGGGGGAUAACGUAGGGAAACUUACGCUAAUACCGCAUACGUCCUACGGGUGAAAGCAGGGGAUCUUCGGACCUUGCGCGAUUGAAUGAGCCGAUGCCGGAUUAGCUAGUUGGCGGGGUAAAGGCCCACCAAGGCGACGAUCCGUAGCUGGUCUGAGAGGAUGAUCAGCCACACUGGAACUGAGACACGGUCCAGACUCCUACGGGAGGCAGCAGUGGGGAAUAUUGGACAAUGGGCGCAAGCCUGAUCCAGCCAUACCGCGUGGGUGAAGAAGGCCUUCGGGUUGUAAAGCCCUUUUGUUGGGAAAGAAAUCCAUCUGGUUAAUACCCGGGUGGGAUGACGGUACCCAAAGAAUAAGCACCGGCUAACUUCGUGCCAGCCGCCGCGGUAA